CCCCGCCGCAUGGACGAGCGCCUCAGCCUUCUGCGCUCGCCGCCGCCGCCCUCAGCCCGCCACCGCGCCCACCCUCCUCAGCGCCCAGCGAGCAGCGGCGGUGCCCACACGCUGGUGAACCACGGCUACGCGGAGCCCGCCGCAGGCCGCGAGCUGCCGCCCGACAUGACCGUGGUGCCCGGGGACCACCUGCUGGAGCCGGAGGUGGCCGAUGGUGGAGGGGCCCCGCCUCAAGGCGGCUGUGGCGGCGGCGGCUGCGACCGCUACGAGCCGCUGCCGCCCUCACUGCCGGCCGCGGGCGAGCAGGACUGCUGCGGGGAGCGCGUGGUCAUCAACAUCUCCGGGCUGCGCUUCGAGACGCAGCUGAAGACCCUUUGCCAGUUCCCCGAGACGCUGCUGGGCGACCCCAAGCGGCGCAUGAGGUACUUCGACCCGCUCCGCAACGAGUACUUCUUCGACCGCAACCGGCCCAGCUUCGACGCCAUCCUCUACUACUAUCAGUCCGGGGGCCGCAUCCGCCGGCCGGUCAACGUGCCCAUCGACAUUUUCUCCGAGGAGAUCCGCUUCUACCAGCUGGGCGAGGAGGCCAUGGAGAAGUUCCGCGAGGACGAGGGCUUCCUGCGGGAGGAGGAGCGGCCCUUGCCCCGCCGCGACUUCCAGCGCCAGGUGUGGCUGCUCUUCGAGUACCCCGAGAGCUCCGGGCCGGCCCGGGGCAUCGCCAUCGUGUCCGUGCUGGUCAUCCUCAUCUCCAUUGUCAUCUUCUGCCUGGAGACGCUGCCGGAGUUCCGCGACGAGAAGGACUACCCCGCCUCGACGUCGCAGGACUCAUUCGAAGCAGCCGGCAACAGCACGUCGGGGUCCCGCGCAGGAGCCUCCAGCUUCUCCGAUCCCUUCUUCGUGGUGGAGACGCUGUGCAUCAUCUGGUUCUCCUUCGAACUGCUGGUGCGGUUCUUCGCUUGUCCUAGCAAAGCCACCUUCUCGCGAAACAUCAUGAACCUGAUCGACAUUGUGGCCAUCAUUCCUUAUUUUAUCACUCUGGGUACCGAGCUGGCCGAACGACAGGGCAAUGGACAGCAGGCCAUGUCUCUGGCCAUCCUGAGGGUCAUCCGCCUGGUAAGGGUCUUCCGCAUCUUCAAGCUGUCGCGCCACUCCAAGGGGCUGCAGAUCCUCGGGCAAACGCUGAAGGCGUCCAUGCGGGAGCUGGGAUUGCUCAUCUUCUUCCUCUUUAUUGGGGUCAUCCUUUUCUCCAGCGCGGUCUACUUUGCCGAGGCAGACGACCCCACUUCAGGUUUCAGCAGCAUCCCGGAUGCCUUCUGGUGGGCAGUGGUAACCAUGACAACAGUGGGUUACGGCGAUAUGCACCCAGUGACCAUAGGGGGCAAGAUUGUGGGAUCUCUCUGUGCCAUCGCCGGUGUCUUGACCAUCGCAUUGCCAGUUCCCGUGAUUGUUUCCAACUUCAAUUACUUCUACCACCGGGAGACAGAAGGGGAAGAGCAAUCCCAGUACAUGCACGUGGGAAGUUGCCAGCACCUCUCCUCUUCAGCCGAGGAGCUCCGAAAAGCAAGGAGUAACUCGACUCUGAGUAAGUCGGAGUAUAUGGUGAUCGAAGAGGGGGGUAUGAACCAUAGCGCUUUCCCCCAGACCCCUUUCAAAACGGGCAAUUCCACUGCCACCUGCACCACGAACAAUAAUCCCAACUCUUGUGUCAACAUCAAAAAGAUAUUCACCGAUGUUUAAUAUGUGAUACAAGUGACAUGCUGUGCUCAGUAUUGUGUGGAACGUGCCCCCUUGGUCUGCCUAUGCCCUUGUUUUAUACAUUUCCAGACCAUUCAUCAAGGAAAGGACCUGAAGAAGUGGAAAGCACACUUCAUUCUCCCUCUCCCUGCUGCUUCAUACUGAAACAGGUGCCUGUUUUGCAAGUGGGCUGCAUUCUCUCAGCUCUCCUUUUCCCUCUUACCCUCUCUCUCUUAACAUUGUAAACAACAGACUUACGUUAAACUUCAUUUCUAGUACACGCCCUAUUUAAAAAAGAGCAGUACAUCCUGGGAGGAAAUGAAACUAAAGAACAGUUAGAGUAACUGUUUAACCUCAGAAUUUUAAAGGCAGUUGUUUCUUUCCUAAGCACAUCAAUUCGUAGUAAAUGAUGCUUCGGUUUGAUGGACCUUUCAACGUUAUUUAUUGAAUAUGUAUUUCGGUUGCCUACCCUGUAGAUAUGUGGAUGAAGAGUCUAACUAGAAUAAUGACUUGUAAACCCACCAUGAGUUAUUUGGUUUUUGACUUAAAUUCCUAUUUGAAUCCCCUUUCCCGGAAUUUUAAGUGUCUCUACAACUUUGAAUAAAGGGAAAUGCCCAAGAUGUCCUGAUCUGACUAAUUAGUUUAAUUCUUUCGGGCUUGCUAAGCAUUUCUAAAGCAUUAGACUAACAGAUUCCUGUGAAGUUCUGUGCAUAUGUCCCAGCCCCAACAACUAUCAAAGUCUAGAAACAGAUGUUUUCAGUGUUGCUGAGAGAAACAAAAAAUUUCCUAAUGCAUCUGAGAGAUAAGCUUCGGCAGUAUCACAAGAAGAUUAAAGUGGCAGACACCCCUUCCAGCGGAAGUUACUAAUUCGGACCUGACUGAUGCAGUUUCCAUAGCAACCCAUGUUUCCUGGGAAACCCGAAAAAGGUUGUCAUGGCAUCUCUUGCUCUCUAGCCCCACCUCCCAGCCCCUGCCGUUUCCACAGUAACCUUUCCAGAUGGUUCCUACUUAAAUGAUUUCAUAAGGAAAACCACUGUUUGAAUAAGCCGCACAAAAAAUAAAGUUAAGUCUGAGACUCUAAGGAGGUGAAAUGAAUCCCAAAUGCAUUUUUUAACUAUGAAAAUCAUUAUGUCAUUCCAUAAUGACUGAAUCAAGGAGGAAAAUAUGGUGUUUGGAAUGUUAGAUAUUAACCACAAUAAGGCAUGAUCUGGAUUAAAUGCCAUUUAUUAGGCAAUAAUUUUUAAAGAUGCUUCUCUACAGUUUUCUUUCUCCAAGAACUUUCAAGCCAACAAAUGAAAUUUAAAAGCAAAUGUAAAAGUGUUCUGUACAUAAGCAAAUGAGAGAUUCGAUCAGUGUGCCUGAAACCUUACUACAAGGGACCUUCAGGCUUUCUCUUUAAAAAAAAAAAUACAGAUCCCACAACAGCUCUGUCAUCAUCACAGCACUUGACAAGCUAAAUAAACUUCAAAUAAAUAAAGGAUGCACGUUUAAAACUGAGUGAAUUGCAGACAAUCAAUUAAAAGGAGGGACAGGAAGUAACCAGAUCUUGGGAGAACACCUGCAAGUUUCAGCCAUAUGCCAAGGGUUGCCAGAAGACAGACAGAAUCAGAAUAAUAAUUACCAUUUAUUAAGAGUCAACCAUGUCCUGGACACUUGUCAACUCCGCAAGCAGUUCCAAGUCCUUCCCACCUCUCAGCUGUGAAUAGAAGUGAUAACCCUUCCCACUAAGAAAUGCAAAGAAGCACACGUGCCCCAUAAUCUGAAGACUUAUGGAAACACUGUGAGAUAGAGAUCCCUGAAGAGCCCCCCAUAUAAAGAACUGUAGAGCUGCACUGACCAGUAGGAUGCUCCAUUUUAAAUUGCCUGGAUCAAGAAUGCAGUAGCAGUUAUAUCACUGAUGGGCAGUGAUCCAUCUGCCAGCACAUAUUUUUAUUUCAGUUGACAUUAAAUAAUAUGUCUCUAACAAAUGCUUUAUAUAAAGGGAACAACUCUGAAGUUGGAGGAUUCGCUUCAUAAUGCGUGCAUAUAAAAGACAUUUCAUCAAGAGAUGAAGAAUGCUAAAAAUAUUAAGGUAUCAUUGCAACCUUUUGACAUUUUGAUGAAAUCGAAUCAUCCAAAAACUAUAAUCAGUGCUGCAGAAAGAAAGCCUAAAAUUUGUUUCUAGCAAGCCAACUAUUACUGUUUUUUGUGUUUUUUUUUUCAAUUAAGUAGUGGACUGUGUUUAAUCAUGAGAUAUAGUCGUGUUAUAUUCCAUGUUCUGGGUUAUGUGCAACUUUAUUUGUGAAGGUGUGUUUUGUACCAAAGGCUCUCAUACAUAGAUUAGCCCAUUUACAUAUAAAUAAGUGAAGUCUACACUGUGCCCAAAUGAAUGGUAUUAAAGACAGACUUGCCUAAAAGAAAUGUGCCUUGCUUGAUUAAACAUUCUUUUAUUUUUUAAUCAAAAUGAUAAAUUUGCAAAUUAGCCUUAUAGGUUUUAGCUGAGCUGAACUUGACAAAAAUGUGUUAGUACUUACUACAUGUUUUAAUAUUCUAUCUUAAUUAAAAUUGUAACAUUUAGUUAUACUUUCAACAGUUCAUAUAUAAUAUAUUCAUUUAAUUUUGUUUUCAUGGGAUGUUUGGUGUGGUGAGACAAAGCACAUUCUUAAAGAUAUAUAUAAUAUUUCAUCUAAUGUUUAUAGCUUUUCCUUCAAAAUUAUAUAUGUAAAAGUUUCCUUAACUCAUUUUCUAUUUUUAUAUUCUUUUAGAAAUGGAACUCUUUUUCAAUUAAAAAAAAGUUUUAGUUGGAAAAGAGAUUUAGGAGGUCAUGAAGAUGGCUUCCCAUUUGGGGACAUUUCACUUCUGUGCCAUUAAUGUAUUUACUGUGACAUUUCAGCAGAAUGGUAGCUAUUUGUAUAUUAUUUCAUAAGCCUUAUGGAAAGUCAAACUGUGAAAAUUUAUUAUAUAGAACCCUUUUUUAUUUCCAUAUUUUAGUUUCAAAAUAUACCUGAACAAAUGCAUAAAUAACCAAUCCUCUGUUAUUUAAAUAUAUAACCAUGCUAUGUUAUAAUAAGAGCACUUGUAGAAUUUUAGUAACUAUAAAAAUAUUUCAGUAGCAAAGCCAAGAUUAUAAAUGUUUUGAUCCCCUACAGAAUGGAGUAAAAGUGAUGAAUUGCAUUGUAUGAGAAUCAGUAACUAAAACAAUCUUAUACCUGCAGCGAAACAGAUAGAUAAAUAAGAGAUACAAUCUAGGUAACUUUCUUUGAGGCAAAGUCUACAAUGAAUGUCUCACAAUCUGCUGGUAAUUUCUUUGUGUCAAAAUUUUGAGACUAGAUCACUACAGGAAAAAAUGAAAGUCUAACAGCUAUCUCAGAUUUGAGCUAUGUGAACUUUUAGUCAAGAUGAUUUGUGAUUAAAGUGAAAAUUUAGCCACUGCCUUGUCUUUGUUCUAUGUUAGCCCAUUUAGUAGAGAUAUGGGCCUGGAGAAUAGUCAGUCCAUUGCAGCAAACAUAAUCCUUAUAACUAAUUAUCACAGCCUGGGUAACAGUAAAGUAAUGCACAUUAGCUACUGGGAUGAUUGAAACAAACUGAUCAACUGUGUUACAGGAGGUCUUAGAUAUUCAGAUGUUUUAGUAAGGAUCAGUAGGUGUUACAAAAAUAGACACAAAAACUACCUUUAUAAAACACGAAUGAAACAACUGUAUGCAUUAUAGUAUAUUUAAUAUCUGAAUUAUUAUUACAGGUUACAGUUUCAAAUAAAGACAAAACCUGGAUUUUUGUGAUAAAAGCACAGGAUGGUGUCAGAUGAGUAAACUGUUAUACUGAAUAUGAUUCACAGAAAGGAUAGUAAAAAUGCUACUGGUUUAGAUAACAGUAGACCAGAAUAUUUAUUCACUUUCUACCUGUGGGACCUUAGGUAAAUCUGUUACAUUACUAGGCUUCAGUUUGCAGGCUUGAAUUGCAAGAUGGGCGUGCUGGAUUCAAUGAUCUCCAAAGCCCUUACCAGUCCCCAAAUUCUCAUUAUACACAUUUGAGAAAUGCUUUGAAGAAAACAGGGCCGGGUGCGGUGGCUCAUGCCUGUAAUCCUAGCACUUUCGGAGGCCAAGGCAGGUGGAUCACAAGGUGUCAGGAGUUCGAGACCAGCCUGGCCAACAUAGUGAAACCCCAACUCCACUAAAAAUACAAAAAUUAGCUGGGCAUGGUGAUACAUGCCUGUAGUCCCAGCUACUGCUGAGGCUGAGGCAGGAGAACCGCUUGAACCCAGGAGGUGGAGGUUGCGGUGAGCCAAGAUCAUGCCACUGCACUCCAGCUUGGGCAACAGAGUGAGACUUUCUCUCAAAAAAAAAAAAAAAAAAAGAAAACUUAAGUACCCAGAUUUUCUUAUGCAGGAAAGAAACAUGAAGUAAGAUUUAAGCCUUGAAAGUAUCAUAAAUAUAUCAUUCUUCAAAUUGAUUGUGAUGAAAGGAAAUAGGAUUCUUUCUCCUUAGAAUUUUCACUGAUCUAUAAUGGGAUCAAAAAAGUAGAAAAAUCAGUCUGCAGAAUGAAAACAGAUUAAUGAAAUAGCUAGAAAGGAGGGGAGAGCAUUUGUUUAGUUAAAUGUUAAGGUAACUUGAAAAUUGUCUAUGAAAUGCUAAAACUGUACCAGAGCCUUAUUGCACACUCAACAUUUUAAGCCUGGGAGCAGGGGAAGGUGGGAAAAGGUUGGAGUGAUAGAAGUGUUUGCCUUAUGAUCUCUUGACUCCUUUUACACAAGAAGCAGAUUGGUAGAGCUUAAGCAGGUGUCUGUGCUGUGGUGCUGGCUCUGCCAAAAACUCUCAUAUGCCCUAGGAAAGUUCCUUUAACUUCUCUGAGCCCGAGUUUAUCUGUAAAGUGAAGACUUUUUAAAUUUAGUAAUCUGUAUGUCUCAUCUCUGAGAAUUCUAUAAUGUUUUCACAUUGUUAUAUGUGUAUAUGUACAUGUUGCUCCCCUCUAGUCACUAAGAUGCCACAUAUUUCUACUUGAGUGAACAGAUUGCAAGUCCAAAUGUUCUUGUUUCUAAUACUAAUAAUUGAUCUCAGCAAGACAUAAAAAAGUAAAAAAAAAAGUAAUCUUACCUUUUAUUUUGACCUUGGCUUUAAAUUAUUAUGAUUUAUCAUUUCAUCUUUGAAUGCUGAGUGAAUUACCUAAACAGAAUGUCUGUUCCAGUUAAUCUUCUCUUUAAAUUUUUGUAGUUUAAUAAACAUGUAACAAAUCAGAAGCAAGUAUAUCAUGCUUAUCGAUGAACUGUAGCAGAUUGUAAUGGUGCAUUUUUGUCACAUUAAAAAGUUAAUGUCCUUUUGGUCCCAGAAGCAAUUACUAUAAUUUAAAAUAAUAUUCACAAAAUUUUGUGAAUGUUUUUGAAUACAAAGGAGGCCUAAUACAGCCAUAUUGUAGUUCAUUUUGCUCAGGAGUGAGAAACAAAAUUCAGGGAUAACCCAAACAUGUCUGUUUGGCAAUAGUGGAUAGUUAGGUAAAGAAGGGUUAUAGCUUUUGCACAUCACAGAUAAGAGGCGACUAUACCUAUUGAAAAACAGCAGUAUAUUCUGGUUCUUGGUUUUAUGAUGGAAAGAUAUUAGAAUGAUACUAAAAUUUGGAUGCUUGGGAAAUUGAAUAAUACAGAAAUAUUUUGUCAUACUGAGAUUAUUUGUCCAGAAGUUUAGUCUUAUAUCCCUUCCAUUCAGAAAAGGGGGCAGUUUUUAAAGGCCUCUGUCAUAAAAGGAAAUGUAUAUUUUGACUAGUGGAGCAAUUAGUUAAAACAUUUAAUCUGAUCAUUUUGGUUUUAUGAAUCUGAAUUUUCACUUUAGGUGUAAUUGAGUCGCUUAUGUAUUACUGUGAUCUUUGUGAGAAGUGAUUUCGUCCAUUUUUUUAAAUCUGAUGAAACUUGAUAAAUGGUGAUUCUAGCAUAUUGUGUUAAUACUGUAUCUUACAACAAUUUGUGAACUGACCAUCAUAAACGAAUCAUAGUAGUAUCUCUUCUGGUAAGUUGUUUCUAUAUGUGAUCUCUUAAUGCUGGGUUUGGGGGUGGGGAUGGGGUUAAGUAUUUAGUUUACUUUAAACUGUCAAAGUGUUUUUCUUAAAUGCCAUAAAAUUGUAUGACUAUAAGCCAAAUAAGAAUAUUCUCUUUUUUCACUUUUAAGGGCACUGUAUAGACCAUUUUUGAAACUAUCCCACAGAAUGGUAUAAUUUCAGUUUAAAAGCUCUUACACACAUACACACACACAAAUAUAAAUAUAUAUAUAUACACAUUCAAGGGAAAGCAAACAGUGUAUGUAGUAUUUCUAAGUGACAUGCUACACGUUAUAAGAAUCUAUUUUUGAAAUCUUAUACAGAUUAUGCAGAAGUCAGAAUAACAAAUACAACACCUCAAUUUUUUUAUAGAGUCUAGCGUUAGUUUACUAUAAGAUUUGCUUACAUCAUACUUGCAAAGAUCAUUCACAUAAUUUAUUUAGCAUUGAAAAUCUUUAUAUGAAGUACUAAUGUCAUCUGAAGUUUAGAGAUUAAACAACCAAGGUUUAGAAAGAUCAAAUGACUAGUCCAAGAUAAUAUGGCCAAUAAAUGGCUCUAAACCUCCUAUGUUCUUUAUACUAUUCACUUUUUGUCAUGUUAUUUUUAUCCUGUCACUGCCAUUAUCUUUAAAACUUUGACAAAAAUUUAAUUUUAAAAGUUACAUUGGGAAUUUUCAGAUUUUAGUGCAAAGACAUUGUUGCUGUUCUUGUCAGACCUUUUCAGAUACCUCCAGACUAUAGCCCUUCCACAGGGUGAUAUUCAAACAUUUUCCACCUAAACAUAUAAGUUUGCACACCCUGACCACAGACACUGAAUUCACUUGAUGUCAGAAUGCUAGACUAAAAGUUGAUCUUCUUGACUGACAUUUCUAAUCUCCCUUUUUAAAAAUCCAUCAUAAGGACUGACUUCUGAACAGUUGAAUAAAGCAGUAAUCAAUCCAAGAAACUGCAUCCAUUCUGAUUCAGAGGAAAAAAAAAUCCAACCUAGUGACCAUUUUUCAGCAUACUGUAUUUCAUCACAUUUAUUCUGUGAUUAGUGGAGGACAGAGAAGAGGGACUGGGGAGAAAAACUGCCUUUAUUUUAAGAAAGCUCAUUUUCCUGUAACUAUUCAAAAAGAAUUGAUUAUCAAGUGUUAGAUAACAAUAUUACUAACAUUUAUCAUCAUUCAAAUAUUUAGUAAAAUUUCUCCAUAUAUUUAAAAUUUUACUUAAGAAUUUUCCCAGUUAAAAUAUGACUGCUUAGUUUGAAUAAGGAAGACAUUCCUUUCAAUUCAUGACACAAUAGUACAUUUUUAUUCUUUUCUCAGACAGCAGAGAGACACUGUUACUGCUUUCCCUUGUAAGUCAACAGUCUGUGAUACAUGCUGUACUUUUACUGAUUAGCAAUGCAAUGUUACUGUGAAUAUUUAACUAGAACUUAUUAUAUUGGAAUUUAAAAUUUUCUAACAUUGAAUUUAGUUCUCUUCAUCAAAUAAGCAAGCAUUAUUUUUAUGAAAUGAAAUAAUCAUUCUUAAGCAGUGAUGAUAAUGGAAUUCUGAAUACGAUGUAAAAUCAAACAUUCUAUUUUUUCUGUUUAUCCUUUGACAUUGAGUUGUUUUAAUUUAUUACAUAUUAUUAAGUUGAAAUAAGCUUUAUACCAUGUUCUCUGAUGUUCUUGUCAUAAUAAUUUUGGGUCUUUUGUUAAGUAAAUAUCAGAAAAUAUCUGUGAGUUUUGAUUAUGUGAUAUUUUCAUCUGAUUGAUUUUUUAAAUUUCUCAUUGGAUUUAAAGUGUUUUCUUUGCUAAUGUUAUAUACAGAAUUCAAUAAAAGACCAAAAAAAAUCCUGUUGCGCAUAUU
rnacentral:lncRNA from 1 species